GAUUUUUCUGUUCCGUGAUGUGGAGUGAUCAAAGCUGGUUCUGGGUUUUCUGGAGCUGGAUCUUUGAUUGCCUUUGAUUUAAAAGCAUUGGUGACCAUUUCCCACAGGAAAGAGGCGCUGAUAAUUCAUGCAAAUGAGCAUCGAUGGGCAAAAUUCAACCAAGUGCCUCUGGAACCAAGGCUGCCAUGGAACACUCUAGUAAAAAUGGGGUGGAGGCUUUUGCCCAAGUGCUCUGGAUAAUCUGGGAAAAGAAAAUGCCAGUCAAGUCCCUCAUCUACACCAGCUCCGUGUUGCACAAGUGGCUUGAACAUACCAUGUCCUGUUAGGAAGAGACUGAAGAGCUGGCUGGCUCAUCUGUCGUCACACUGAUGGCCCGAGCGCUG
rnacentral:lncRNA from 1 species